AACGAACGCUGGCGGCAUGCCUAACACAUGCAAGUCGUACGAGGCCUCCGGGUCUAGUGGCGCACGGGUGCGUACCGCGUGGGAACCUGCCCUUAGGUUCGGAAUAACUCCCCGAAAGGGGUGCUAAUACCGGUUAAUGUCUUCGGACCAAAGAUUUAUUGCCUUUGGAUGGGCCCGCGUUGGAUUAGCUAGUUGGUAGGGUAAAAGCCUACCAAGGCGACGAUCCAUAGCUGGUCUGAGAGCAUGAUCAGCCACACUGGGACUGAGACACGGCCCAGACUCCUACGGGAGGCAGCAGUGGAGAAUAUUGGGCAAGGGGCGAAAGCCUGAUCAAGCAAUGCCGCGUGAGUGAUGAAGGCCUUAGGGUUGUAAAGCUCUUUUACCCGAGAUGAUAGUGACAGUACCGGGAGAAUAAGCACCGGCUAACUACGUG
rnacentral:rRNA from 1 species